rnacentral:lncRNA from 13 species
UUUAAAUUGUGUUCAUCAGAACAGUUCAACAUUUGAAAAUGAUACGAAUAUCAUGAACAAUAUUGCUAAAAAUGAAGUGCCUUACAAAACGAAGAUUUGGAGAAGUCAUAAAUGGAUGACUGAUAAUUAUACUUUGUUUUAUAUAGUAUCAAUGCUAUUUCAUAUUUUUCCAGCUGUGCUAAUAGAUUUGGCUUUAAAAUGCUUUGGACGUCAACCAAUGUUACUACAACUUUAAAGAAGACUAUAUGCGGCCAACCUUGCGCUGUUCCACUUUUGCUCUAAUGACUGGAUAUUCGGCAAUACAAAUAAGUCACUUCUAAUAUCAACAAUAUCGCCUGAAGAUCAGGAUGCGUUUUCUUUUGACUAUUCCAAUUGCAAUAUUAGAGAGUAUUACAAGAAUUGUGUAAUUGAUAGCAAAAAAUAUAUUCUUCACGAGAAAAUGGACAUAAAUCAAUUACAUGAACUCAUUCUACGUAAUAAAAGGUAUAAGUUUUAAAAGAGAAAGUGACACUUGUAAGUAUAGUCACUCGUAAUAUCUUUUUUAUUAGAUGUCUACAGAUUAUCCAGCAAACACCAAACUACAAUUAAAUAAAUGUUAGUUAUAAUUUUCCACUCAACAUCGUAAUUAUUAUAUUACGACCCAUGUAACAAAAUGUCCGUUUAAUAAUCACAGUGCGCACAUACAAAUA